rnacentral:rRNA from 1 species
GACGAACGCUGUCGGCGUGCUUAACACAUGCAAGUCGAACGGAAAGGCCCUGCUUUUGUGGGGUGCUCGAGUGGCGAACGGGUGAGUAACACGUGAGUAACCUGCCCUUGACUUUGGGAUAACUUCAGGAAACUGGGGCUAAUACCGGAUAGGAGCUCCUGCUGCAUGGUGGGGGUUGGAAAGUUUCGGCGGUUGGGGAUGGACUCGCGGCUUAUCAGCUUGUUGGUGGGGUAGUGGCUUACCAAGGCUUUGACGGGUAGCCGGCCUGAGAGGGUGACCGGCCACAUUGGGACUGAGAUACGGCCCAGACUCCUACGGGAGGCAGCAGUGGGGAAUAUUGCACAAUGGGCGGAAGCCUGAUGCAGCAACGCCGCGUGCGGGAUGACGGCCUUCGGGUUGUAAACCGCUUUCGCCUGUGACGAAGCGUGAGUGACGGUAAUGGGUAAAGAAGCACCGGCUAACUACGUGCCAGCAGCCGCGGUGAUACGUAGGGUGCGAGCGUUGUCCGGAUUUAUUGGGCGUAAAGGGCUCGUAGGUGGUUGAUCGCGUCGGAAGUGUAAUCUUGGGGCUUAACCCUGAGCGUGCUUUCGAUACGGGUUGACUUGAGGAAGGUAGGGGAGAAUGGAAUUCCUGGUGGAGCGGUGGAAUGCGCAGAUAUCAGGAGGAACACCAGUGGCGAAGGCGGUUCUCUGGGCCUUUCCUGACGCUGAGGAGCGAAAGCGUGGGGAGCGAACAGGCUUAGAUACCCUGGUAGUCCACGCUGUAAACGGUGGGUACUAGGUGUGGGGUCCAUUCCACGGGUUCCGUGCCGUAGCUAACGCUUUAAGUACCCCGCCUGGGGAGUACGGCCGCAAGGCUAAAACUCAAAGGAAUUGACGGGGCCCCGCACAAGCGGCGGAGCAUGCGGAUUAAUUCGAUGCAACGCGUAGAACCUUACCUGGGUUUGACAUGGAUCGGGAGUGCUCAGAGAUGGGUGUGCCUCUUUUGGGGUCGGUUCACAGGUGGUGCAUGGCUGUCGUCAGCUCGUGUCGUGAGAUGUUGGGUUAAGUCCCGCAACGAGCGCAACCCUUGUUCACUGUUGCCAGCACGUUAUGGUGGGGACUCAGUGGAGACCGCCGGGGUCAACUCGGAGGAAGGUGGGAUGACGUCAAGUCAUCAUGCCCCUUAUGUCCAGGGCUUCACGCAUGCUACAAUGGCUGGUACAGAGAGUGGCGAGCCUGUGAGGGUGAGCGAAUCUCGGAAAGUCGGUCUCAGUUCGGAUUGGGGUCUGCAACUCGACCUCAUGAAGUCGGAGUCGCUAGUAAUCGCAGAUCAGCAACGCUGCGGUGAAUACGUUCCCGGGGCU